UCUUGUUUUCACCUUUUAUCCAUCAAGCAUACGUGACUAGUUCACUAGAGCCUUCACUAGAUCAAAAUCUCCUUUAGAAAUACAGCUUAAAUCAUCGUUUUAAUGACUGAAUAUCAAGGUGAUUUCUGUUGUUGUUCGUCAUUCAAAUCUUGAGAAGACGUGAGCUUAGAAAAUCCCCUUUAGAAGAGAAACAAGAGGGAUAAUAGGUGGACUUAAACCUAUGAAUUUCGUGACCUCCGCAACACCUCAUCUUUGAGCUAGAGGUCGCAGACAGGUUGUUCUCGUUAGGUGUCUUCUCUUUCUCUCAGAAUGGAUUUAUUGCAAUUUUCUUGGACCGUCUUAUGCAUCAGUUGGCCUCGAAAAUUUGCUGGAUUGCUUUCGACAAUGUGUACUUGAUAUAUGCAUGAUCUAAAUUAUGCAUCUCUUGUGUAGAUUUAUCUUCUCUUUCUGAGAAAUUCUAUUGCAUAUCACAUGCCUUGUACUUGAUCAUUUGAUCGGUCAUUUAGAUUGCUUCUAUGCUCGAAUCGUUUGCUUUCUCCAAGCGGUUGCAUGCUUGAGAAAUACUGCGCAGGACAGGGAAGCACUUAUUCUUGAAGGACAACAACAACGGGAGUCCUCCUCCUCUUCUGCUUCAGAUGACCAAUGAUUCUGAAUUCUGAUGAUCAAGUUCAUGUCACUUAUUUGCAUUGCAGUCGUUCAUAAGGCGCGUGGCCUAUGCAACCACCAGUUUUGAUCGUAUCCUUGUUUUAUUCUAACCAUCAUGAUCUCUUUAAGUAUAUCAUUUUUUCUCAGAUUGGUUGCAACCAUGACAGGUUUUACAUAGGUUUCAGUACAAGUAUACAAGGGCCUCUCGCCUACACCACGAUUCAGGCAAGUAAUCGGACAAUAUCACGUGAUCGUGUAACAUAUGGAGUAUUGUUUUCUCGAGCCAACGAGGAAUGAGUUACUAAAGUAAUGGUGAUUUUUGCCUGCUAAUGUGAUAUAUACAACAUAUGAUUGUCCACUUCCAGUUUAACAACUACUGUUAAUUUUGUUGAAAAGGUAAUUUCUUAUGUGAGAAUUAAA